rnacentral:rRNA from 1 species
AUGCCUGGUAAACUAGAAGAGCUUUAUGAUUGGAUUUUGUCGUUUGAAGGAAACGGGGUGAGGCAGGUUGUGGAAUCUGGAGUGGCUUCGGUUUUAUGGGGGUUGUGGAAAAUUAGAAACAAAGCCUGCUUCCAGCAUGUUUACCCUGCUGAUCCUAAUAGUUUGGUAAUAAUCAUAUCUCAGCUGUUAUUUUCUUGGUCUAUUCUGCAGAGGAAAAAGCUCGGAAAAAUCCUUUGCUAUGGAGCCAAGUUGCUGCUGGUAGUGGCGUCUGAUUCAACAGGAAUAGAGGCUGGGCAUCGUUGA